rnacentral:rRNA from 1 species
UACGUAGGGGGCGAGCGUUGUCCGGAUUUAUUGGGCGUAAAGAGCUCGUAGGCGGUUCGAUAAGUCGGACGUGAAAUCUCCACGCUCAACGUGGAGGGGCCGUUCGAUACUGUCGUGACUCGAGUCCGGUAGGGGAGUGUGGAAUUCCCGGUGUAGCGGUGAAAUGCGCAGAGAUCGGGAGGAACACCCGUAGCGAAGGCGGCACUCUGGGCCGGUACUGACGCUGAGGGGCGAAAGCGUGGGGAGCAAACAGG